AUACGGAGGGUGCAAGCGUUAAUCGGAAUUACUGGGCGUAAAGCGCGCGUAGGCGGAUUGUUAAGUCUCAUGUGAAAGCCCUGGGCUCAACCUGGGAACUGCAUGGGAUACUGGCAAUCUAGAAUACAGUAGAGGGUAGUGGAAUUUCAGGUGUAGCGGUGAAAUGCGUAGAGAUCUGAAGGAACAUCAGUGGCGAAGGCGACUACCUGGACUGAUAUCGACGCUGAGGUGCGAAAGCGUGGGGAGCAAACGGGAUUAGAAACCCCAGUAGUCC
rnacentral:rRNA from 1 species